CUCCCUCCCUCCCACAGCCCCCUCCGUCCCUCCCUCCCGCAUGCCUCCUCUCCUCCCACCCACAUCGCCGCCGCCACCACCCACCUCCUUGAACGGCGCCGUCGGCGGCCAGAUCCACCGCAACAAACCACCCUCCCCCCCAACAACGAUGAGCAGCAGCGGAGGGAGGACGAGGAGCACGACGACGGCGGCAGCAGAGAGCAGCAGCAACAGGCGGCGCAGCAGCAGACCUUGGGCAAGAUCCAUCUGUUGCGCUCGUCCUCCAGCGGCCACCAACACCGCUCCGGCGCCAUCAAGGCUCCUCCGACGCCAUCAAGGGUGAGGAGGGUGAGGAGGAUGACGCCCAGCCAUGGAGCAGCAACAACGCAAUGUCAAGGGACAAACCUCAGCCAUGGGGCAGCAGCAACUCAAGCUCAAGGCCUCCCUCUACCUUGAUUUACUUUAACCAGGUUCUGAAGAGCCACUGUUUGUUCAAUUCGUCGAGUCUUCGACCGUCCUGCGGACUGCUGCUAAGUCGAGAUGUUGCAAGGCUUCUGGUCUGUAAGCUCUUGUUUUUUCCUUCCUAUCUAGCAGUCAAAUAUAUGUGGAUUGGUUGUUAUGUGCGGCUUCAGUUGUUUCUUAGAUGUGUUGGCUGCUCAUAUCUGGCUAAUGUUUUUUUUGAUGCAUUAGCUUCUCGAGGCUGGAUAUGGUCUGAUUCCUUUGAUGGAUUAGGGGAUCUACUUGGAUCCUUUGAAUUUUUUGUUGCCAUGUGGGAGGCUGGGCUGCAUGUCUAGAUUCCUGGCCCUUCUUUUGUUCCUUUCUGAAUUUGUCUGCUGCUUAUGGGUUCGGCGUGGACUAUUGUCAUUGGCUUGGUUUAAAAUAUUUUGCCAGUCUCACUAUUGGUUUGGGCUGUCCCUGUUUUAGGUUUUAUCUUAAGGAUUAGUCGUUGGAUUAUGUUAGUCUCAGAUGUAUGGCCAUAUGAAUUAGUAACUAAUUAUGUUAGGCUUAGAUGUAUGGCCAUUUGGAUUAGUAACUGAUUAUGUUAGGCUCAGAUGUAUGGCCAUUUGGAUUAGUAACUGAUUAUGUUAGGCUCAGAUGUAUGGCCAUUUGAUUAGUAGUUGAUUAUGUUAGGCUGAAAUGUGACACACGCUUAGGGCCAUUUAUAUUAGUACCUAAUUUGUUCUUUGGCUUAAGAAGCAGUUGGAUGAAUCACAUGGCUGGCAAAUUGUAGGUGUUGUGCCUGUCAUGGUUGCUAUUCGGUGGAUUUAGGAAGCCAUUCUUAGGUGCUUGAUUGGAGCUUGUUAAGUAAAGGGGGUGAGAUGGGUUGUGUUGAUUGAUUGAUUCAAGAUCUGCCUGGUCAUUUGUUUUUGGGAUCAGACAUCUCACACGUUGGUUGAGGGAAUGGUGGACCAUCAUGGGCUCGAUUUGUUUCUGUUCGAUUGGGGCUUGCAAAAGAGAGGUGCGGGGCAGGCUGCUGUUGGAUUAUGUCUCCUUGUGUUAUUUAGAUGUUGUCUUUGUCCAUGUGUUUUGGUUAGUCUCUGCUUCGUUGUUUGCGUUGGGGAUUAGAGAAGUUUUAUGGUUGGUUAAGAAGAUGGGCGAUCUAUUAAUGUUGUGCUUGCAGUUGUUUGGAUCAGGGUGUUGUUCUUAGGUGCUAGAUUUUCAUUUGGUCCUUGCUUAGCCAUGUAAUCAUAAGAACGAAUAGGUCACAUGGUUGAUUAGAAAAGAGCAUCAAAGGUAUGGGCUUAUUGUGGUUUCAAUCCUGUCAGCUGAAAUGUUGUUCUAGGGUGCUAAAUUAAUUUGGCUAUCCAGUAAGCUUCAAGUUUCCACUUUCUAAUUUCAUAUGAGACACCGGUGCUUUCCUAUUGGUUGUUCUGGUCGAUUCUUUUGUUUUCUGAUACUUUGUUUGUUGUGAUUUGAAUGCUACGUAUGUUGAUAUGCUGGUGCUUGUUUGGUUGCCUCGCUUGUGGUUCUAAGAUUUCUUAUUUGCUUUGAUUAUGAUGUUUGUUGGUUGAUUCUGCUACAUCUUUCUUUUUCAGGACUUUGUGUUGUUGUUUUUUAUCAUCUUCAGGCGAGUCAUGCUCUUUCCGAGAAAAGCCAAGAAAGAUCGGGCCCCAAGUCGUGAUCUUCAUCACGUGAUGGCCACACUCGGAGCUCUGCCGCCUCCAACUCCACUCCGUUGAGGUCCUCACGGGUUCGUCAUGCUGGUGAAGUCACCGAUGUUGUCCACGCAAGCACAUAUUAGGUUGUGGCUCUUCUUCACCUAGGACAUCCUCUCGAGCUUCCCCAAGGUGCAGUGUUGUUCCCCGUGGUGUAUGUGUAUGUUCUUCUUGCUGUGUGCAUACCUGAUCCUCUAUUUCUUUUGUCCAUGCUAUUUGACAAUCAACUAUGAAAUUAAAUAAUGCUCUACCAUCUGUGGUAUUUUGUUUCUGUGAUAUGUAUGAAUUUAGUGAUUAUGUAAGUUUGUCGUUGAGAUUUUACUUUCAAGAUGGUUCCAUUUGGAUAUAUGAAUUAACAAGAGAUUACGAUUAGUGCAGACCAGUUGUUCAAAAUAUAAAACUUGAGUUCCUUUCAGUUUACUUAGUGCAUAUAUUAUUCUUGCCACGUUCGUAACUAUCAAUUGCAGCAUUGAUACUGUUAAUUGGAUGAUCAAUAUUGGAUAGGAAAAGAGGUUGUAUGAACUGAAAUAGGAAACAAGCCUUUAGUGCAAAAUGUGUUUGCUCAACUAAUUUAAGCUCAGAGUCUCUCUGUUUUACUAUGUAUCCAAUGACUUCUUUCUUACAUCAUUGGCAUAAUCUUGGAGAUUCAGUUGAGUUAAAAAGAAUCAUGACAUAUGAUAUUUUCCAACUUACCUUUGGACUAGAAAUUAUAUCUCACACAUGUUCACUUUGAUCUUGCAGUUUGCUUCAGCCAUGUUUUACGCAUAUUUCCUUUCACACCCCUUUCAUACAUGGGCUCUCACACAUGCUCACUUUGAUCUUGAAGUUUACCCUGAUGGUAGUAGUGCCUUUGUUAGUUCUUGCAUCUGGUUGCUCCAAUGCCAGUAAAACAGUGUAUGAGCCCCUUUCAGUCUGUAACUGCCAGAGAGCCCAGUGAAAAUGCCUGAGCUCCUGCUGAUAUAUAGGUUUCAAAUGAUGUUUUAUUUUGUGUUCUUUUCUCAAACAUACUACUAUUUUUUUUAUAGAAAUGGGGGGAGGUCGGAUAUGAUAUGAUAUGACAUGUUGAUAUGUUCAUUUGCCGGAGGGUCGGAUCUCAAGGGGCAGAGAUCAGUCCUCCAGAGCUGUUGGGCAGAAGAAGAUGGGUAAGCUCCUAUUGCUCUUCUAUGUUGAUUUAGCAGAAGAAAGAAAAUUAGGAAGAGUAUCUGCAGAUAUAUUUUGAUGCUCUCGGUCUCAUUCAUGAUUUAUCCUAUAGCUAGGUCUCUUUCAUGUGCAUAUCCUAUGUUAGUGCAUCGCCUGCUAGCUGUUGAUUUACUCUUUGUCGUAAAAUGGUUAGAAAAAAUACUUUAUUAUCAUGGUUCUGAUUGUGCACCUUUUUGGCUUAUAAAAAAAGAAUAAUUUUUUGAGCAUCAACAACUGAUUCCCAAGCUGCAUGCAGGUACUGAUUUCUGCCUUGGCUCCAUGCAACGACUCAUUCUUUGUUUUCAUAGGAAUCGUUCGAUUCAAUUUUUGCUUUGUGUGAGGAAUCGUUGGAUUCAAUUUUUGCUUUGUCUUGUACUAAACACAUACAUCCAACUACACAUCCAUCCAACUUUAGAUUCUUAAUCUGGUCUGCAUACUAAUGGGACAUAAAAUAGUGGUCCUGUAGUUAAAUUAUGAUGUCCACUAUUAUUGAUGCCUUCACCUUGAUACCUUAUUGCAGGAAGAGCAAAUUGCAUACUUUAUGAACUAAUUGUCUCGAUUAUAUGGUUGGUGACCAACUAAUUUUCUCAGUCAAGCAGUUACUCUUUCAGCAGUUUUGUACCAUUUGAUUUAGAAGGCGGCUCUCUCUCAUCUACUGAAGAACACACACUGCACUUCUAUAGGCUAAUAAGGUAUGUUCCUGUUUUCAGAAGAAAAAAAUUGUAUCUCAUGUAUGUUGGUCCUCUCGCUUUUUUCCAUGUUUCUGUUGAUGCAAGUAGCAACUACAAACAGUCCCUGUGUGUGAAACUUUUUUUGGCAGUGUUAAUUUAUUAUGCAAAUGGUUGUAGCUUUAUUUAGUAUGGUCUUCUAAGUUCUAACCGUGACUUGGUUUCUUAGAAAGUGAACCUCACAAAUAAGUUAAAACCGACGAUCGUUUCUGGAACAUAGGUACACAAUCACAAGCCCUUAGCAUUAUGUCAGGUGAUCCACCUUAACCCUCUUAGAGACAAAAAUACCGUUUCGUUCUGAGAAUAUAUUCAGACGACAGAAAGUUGUUGUCUAUUUUGUGAAGAGAAUAAUGAUCUGAUUGAAAGGGAAAUAAGUGAUAACUGGAGAUCCUUUGGUUGCCUACUUCCUGAUUUGGAUCUUAACAGUAUACAGUCUGAAUAAGACAGUGGUAAGAGAUGCAUCAAAACCUGAAUAAUUUGUAUCUCUGCACCUUUAGUACUCCUAAUGCUUUUCAAUGGAUGCUUAGUAAAUGGCUUCGCACAAGCGAAACCAGCUGAAACUAACAUGCUGAGAAUACAAGCUCAAGUGUAAGAGUACAAGUAGUGAUCUAAACGCUCUUAUAUUUCUUUACGGAGAGAGUAACAUCUAUUUAUUCUAAGCAUUUUGCUAAAUGACUGCAUGACAUUAAUUGCAAUGUUUUUUAGGCAUCUCAGCUUUUGUGGGUAAAUGGAUCCACGUACAGGUUGACGUUGGGGAUCAUUUGCCUGUACACCAACUAUCUCAUGAUUUGUUUUACCGCUGACUACCAUGACGUGGUCUAAAGACUAAACUUUGAGGAUUUUGUAGAAUUGGCUUGUGUUAAGCAUUUGUACUGUGAUUUUAAACUACUAAUGUGGUUCAUACUAAAACAAUAAUACCAUGUAUCACUUAGUUCUCUGUUUUGUACUCAACCAUUACUAUUAUAUGUGUUUUGCUUCCUCCUCAAGAAGUAUUAUUUUCAUUUUCAUAUAGGGCCUUUAAGAUGGGAUUCCAUAAUUGUUCAUGUUCAUUCCAUAUACUAAUAUAUGAAGUUUUUUUA